AAUAGCGAAGUAACCGCGAUCGACAGCUGCCAGUUGGUUCCAACGAAGCAACGACUGCCGUUAAGUUGUUGCCCUGUUAGAACUCGCUAAUCCAGCAGUAACCGUUGUUGCAGCCUUCACGGUGCGUGGAUUUUAACGACCGUUACCUCGCAAACGAACCUCGAAGAUCGCCAAACGCGUUUCCUCCGAUCAGAAGAAGCUAACCAUUCGGGAUGCAACGUGGCACGACCGUCAGAAGUCCGCGAGAACAAGCGAUCUUAUUCCAGCACUAAUUAGACCAAGUUAGGAAACUAAUUGACUCGUUACACCGUCUUCGUCGCUGCGCGUUAUAAUGCAUGUAAUUAUUUAUAAGCCAACGUUACGUUAGAGACGCUUUCGAGGCGCAAGUACGCACUGAGCUCGAGUCGAGCAGAGGGUGAAACGUGAAAGUAGAGUUUCUUGGGUCUGAUCGUUUUUUUCUUUGAAAAUUCUUGUCCGCUGGAACGAGGUGUUCGAGCUGAUGUGACAUUUACGAGUGGAUAUGUUUCCUGAUUGCGCGCGAAAAACAGGGGAACUUGCGAAGCCAGUUUCCUAGGCCGAUUGACAGAAUUUGCGUGGCUAAAUCUAAGCUUCGUUGGAAGUUCAAUAAAAAAUUAAGAAUUAAUGUCAAGUACUAGGCUGCACUAGCAAUCGUGGUUAUUUCGUUGGAGCCUGGAACAGAAUCUUUCUUUCGCAAACAGAAUUUGUUUUCGAAGAAUAGCAUAUGUCUCAUCGUAUUACAUUAGGAAUAGCCUAUGACUAAACCAAUCCGACAGGCCUGAAGAGUUAGUAAUCAUCAGCAACACUGUAACCAAACCAUUCUAAUUCCGUAUCGAUUUUCCCCCUACGCAUCUUCGCUAACAUCUCGGAUCUCGAAGCAAAGCCAUCGGAAAUCGUUGAAAGAGAUAAAUGUCGGUGGGCAACUGUUCCCGCCAAAAAACCGUUACACGCAAAUUGUUUCCACUCGUACAGCGCAAACAUCGAGACGUUUGUUUGGCUUCCGCGAUUCUCGAGUAAAUGUAUCCUUCCGAUCGAUGCAUACCUAGAGUCGAUUUGUGUAUAAACAGAUCCUUAUUGGCGACCCGCCAGCUCUGUCGCGAAGCUAUUGGAACCGAUUUGGCCCCCGACGGGACACGCCGGUCCCGUAAUCGUGAAAGUGUAUCGAUCUCCGUGAUCUAGGCCAUCGUGUCACCUUUUCAGUCCGCGGACGAUCAGCUGUAAAACGAGUCUUCCGCUUUCUUGCGUCCAAAAGCGAGGAAACGCGAUUGCAAACAGUUAUGGUUCGUAGAUUCUCGAGGGUUGGUUCAUCUAAUUUUUUCGGAGCAGGCUUGAGGGCUUCAAAGAUUCCUAUUGGUCUCUUCUAGCAAUAAUAGUAUGAUAUAAACAGGUACUUCGAAAAGAGAGAAAGGAACGUAACUUUGUUUCGGAUGGACGUCGAUUUGCUGGUCAUGUGGUUAACUAUUUUAAUCAGCUGAACGUUAGGAGGGCGUUUUGGUCGAAUAUUGAGGUGUUACUCCAUUGGAAAAUGAUUUGGCAUUGAAAAAUGGAUAAGAACUUGCUGGAAAUUGGACAAUUUUCAGGGUCAGUGAUUUUCUUCGGAGGAUAAGUUUCCUUUCAGCACUUUCUAUUGAUUAGCGUCGCUUUCGCUUUCUUUUCGACACGCCUCAUUAAUAAAUAAGAAUUCUAAAAGGAUCUCCGAAGAAAACCAUUGCUUGCUCUUCUAAUUCUAAGCAUUAGUGCAGGACAGCCAUGUCUAUGUAUGUAGCCAUUGCAAAUGGUAAUUUCUAAUGUGUUGCAUGAAAGUUAAGCUUAUUAAAGAAUGGGGAUGAUUUACAAUGAAAUAGUUUAUCUAAUAAAUUACCAGACAAAUUGCGUAUAAUAUUCAUCCUUGAGAAGACUACCUAAAAAGCAUCCAAAGUCCGACCAACAGCUCGCGAUGAAUUCCGCAAAACAGCAUGAGCUAACCGCUGAACCAAACAUGGACCACUGGGAUAUUAUCUACCUGUUAAUUUACACAAGCACGAAUCAGUUCACCAACUGUGGAAUUCGAGCGAAAUGCGGAUUGAAACAUCCAAUGAGUGAAAUCGAGCAAUUCAAGCGGGAGGAAAGUGAUUUGGUAUGGCAACGUAUGUAACUGGGAGAGUCGCUAUAGUCGAAAGAAAACAGAAGUGGAGAUACCUAUACCAUCGACAGGAUCUUAACAGUUUUUAUAGCUCACUUCCAACCUUCAGACAGAAUCUUUGAAUUUUCUUAAGUGUUAAUAUUUUUUUUUAAGUACUCAAAUAACUGCUUCUUUGUGGAACAAAAAUUGAACUUUGUAUGAUAGUCUGAAUAAUCAUACCAGAAUUUGUCAUUUACACUUUUCAAAUCAUUCGCUAGUAUUUUCCAACCUUUAGACCACCUACCCAACAGAAUCUUUUAAUUUUCUUAAGUGUUAAUAUUUUUUUUAAAUUGCUGAAAUAACUGCUUCUUUGUGAAACAAAAAUUGAACUCUGUAUGAUAGUCUGAAUAAGCAUAGCUUUAUCGAACAAUUUAUCAUUUGUACGUUUAAAAUAAUUCAUGUUAACCUUUUAAAGGGUCACGAAAAAAAAUAUCGCUCUACAUUUUUGACUCGUUUGUGCGUGACUAAUUAGCCAUAUUAGAUUCGUACUCUUCUUGCAUAGAUCAGAAGGUCUCGCUUGACGUUCCUCCGUGUGGCAGAGUUUCCUGUUCGCGAGCACGUCGGUUGUCGUAGGUCAGCGAUUCUCGAUACGAUCUUCCGGUCUUUCUACGUGACUUAUAAAUACAUUGACGGCGCGUUCCAUCAGCGAUCGACGAACGCAGAGCGACGCCAUGCGCGUCGAGGCGCAUAGCAGAACGCGGAAAACGUUCCUGAACGUUUCGACGGUACAGGAUGCUCCAAAACAAAAAUAUUAACACCUACAUAUGAGUACCUUUCUUAGAAAAAAGAACUGAAUACAUAGUCUAUCAUAAAUCUUGGUCUCUACUUGGUCACUUUGUUUAUAUAUUCUUGGAAAUACUAUUUGACCACGCGAACCAAAAUGUCAGCAGUAUUCACCACAAAGUAUUUCUAAAUCACAAAUUAAUUUCAUUAAUUCUAGAAUUCCAGAAAAUACCAUUCAUGUUUCCUCUAAAAUUUCAAUCAAGCUCAGCAUCAAUAUUCACUUCACAAUUCUAAUAAAUCGUCAAUUAAUUUCGUUAAUUUUGCCUUUGUUAUUCACAUCAAGCCCCAGAAAAUAUCAUGUAUUCCACUAGAAUUUCAGACACAAAGAAAUUUAGAAGAGAAAUUUCCAACUAGAAUUCUCUACUUUUCAACCACGCAAUUUUGGAACACCCUGUAAUAGCACCCCAUGGAAUUAAAUCAACGAAAAUCGGCGGCGAGGGUGGAAAGGAAAGCGUUGUUUGAUCGAUCGAGCCACUUGUACAAUUAAUUGAUGCUGCCGUUUGGCUGCUAGCCGCUGUAUUAUGUCACGUAGGCCGCAACAAUAAUGGCUUGCGAAACGAGCCACCGUGUGCAGACCAAAUAUUGGGACGUCGUUAAUUAACAGCAGUUUUCUUUAAUGGUCGCCCAUGCCAGUGAAUGCGCGCGCGUUGAUCAAUUAUCGCGACGGAUCGAACGAUGCUGCAUUAUUCGUCGAUCCAAUGAAUAAUCCCGACGAGAUGUAAUUGAGAAGAAUCACCGUAAAACUUGUACACGUGCUCGCGAUACAUCGCACCGAUUAUUGCCGCGACGAAGUUACGUUUAAUGUUCGUUGGCAUACGCGUCGCAAUUAGUACGAGAAAUUAAUACUAAAUUGAUUUAUGGGACAUCAAUGGGGCCUAAUUGAUGAACUAGGCGAAAUAAAAGGCAGCGAUGGUGGAGAGUUGUCGAAACUGAGGAGUCUAUCGAAAGCAAAGUGGAUUACUUUGGGUUCUGAGAGGAUCGUUUAGUGAUGAUGAGAUUAACAGUUGUUAAUUUGUUAUUUAUAUAGUGGUUUUUGGAUUGAAAGGAAAUUUUGAAACGAUGGAAUGAUGAUAUAAAAUGCAGAAAAUGGCGAUGGUGAGGAAAAUUGAUUCUUAUGUGAAACUGAGAAAUUUCCUGAAACCGAAGUGAAUUACUUGCUUCUGAGAAGAUUAUUUAGUGAUAACGAGAUUGAAUUGAGAUAAACGAGACGUUGAGAUCAACUUUCUACUCCUUUUUUCCAUCCUAAUUUUCCACGUUUCGAAGACCAUGUGUUCUUCCAUGCGAGUGGAGAUUGAAAAUGAUACGGUUCCAGUCAUGGCGAUAUCAAUGAAUGUUUCCUUCCAACAUUCGUGUUAUUUUCAAAUCUCCCUCAAUGUUGACAAAUAUUUAUUACAAAAGACAGGUGUUUAUUCGUCAAACUAUGAGCGUCUGAGGAUCAAACUAAACUUACUGAAGAG